AUUUGCAAGCGUUGCCUGCCUGAGACAGCUGGUGCGCCCUGAGCGCUUAAUGUUAUCGCCAGCCGAGGCAAGGGGAGUGGGUAGAAGAUAUAUACCGAGCGUAUAGUGGUAAGCCCCUGCCUGUCUCAAGCAGGUAGGGGCUUACUUUAUUGUAA
rfam:Thermobaculum terrenum ATCC BAA-798 chromosome 1, complete sequence.